GAUGAACGCUAGCGGCAGGCUUAAUACAUGCAAGUCGAGGGGCAUCAAGGUACACGAAAGUGUAUUGUUGGCGACCGGCGGACGGGUGAGUAAUAGGUAGGUAACCUACCUCAUACUGAGGCAUAGCUGGGAGAAAUUCCAGGUAAUUCCUCAUGAGGUUAUAUGACACAUGUGAUAUAAUCAAAGGUAUCGCAAGGUACUGGUAUGAGAUGGGCUUACUGACCAUUAGCUAGUUGGUGAGAUAAGAGCUCACCAAGGCGAAGAUGGUUAGGGGUUUGAGAGAGAGAUCCCCCACAUUGGAACUGAGAUACGGUCCAGACUCCUACGGGAGGCAGCAGUAGGGAAUAUUGGGCAAUGGGCGGAAGCCUGACCCAGCCAUGCCGCGUGAAGGAAGACGGGCCUUUAGUGGGUUGUAAAACUUCUUUACUAUGCGACUAACUAGAUUUACGAGAUAAUUCUAAUAGAAUAGUAGCAUAAGACAAAAAAGACACCGGUA
rnacentral:rRNA from 1 species